UUGAGCCCAGGCGGCUAUGCGCCCUAAUCCAAGGCGGGUGUCGCACGUUGCCUGUGCUGUGUUUGGGAUCAUUACGGCAUUGAUAUAACUGCUAUCGAGAAUAACCGCAGAAGACCAGGUAUCGGCUUUUUAUUCCCGAUGAUGGCAGGCAACUUGGGGCAAGUAACUGCUAGCUCAACAGUUUUUCUUCUCUGUGAUGUGCAAGAAAAAUUCAAGCCAGCCAUUGCACACUUUAACUGUGUUGUGCAGUCAUGUUCAAAACUUAUAACAGCUGGUCGCAUUCUGGGAGUUCCUCUGCUAGUCACUGAACAAUACCCAAAGGGUCUGGGCAAGACUGUUCCUGAGCUGGAUGUGCAACAUGCAGCUGUCGUGGCUGAAAAGACCAAGUUCAGCAUGGUCGUGCCUGAGGUGGACGCCGUACUGGAGCAGCUGAAGCCCCGUGUGGGCCGUCGUCAUGGGACUUGAGGCGCACGUGUGCGUGGAGCAGACGGCAGCCGACCUGCUGGCGCGCGGCCACGUGGUGCACGUGGUGGCCGACGCCGUCAGCUCACGCUCACAGGAGGACCGGCUGCUAGCGUUUGACAGAAUGCGACAGAUGGGCUGCUUCAUCUCCACCAGUGAGUCGAUCAUCUUCAAGCUGCUCGGCGAUAAGAACCAUGAGAAGUUUGGUGAGGUCAGGGGCCUGGUGAAGGAGCCCUCGCCUGUCGACGGGGCUGGCCAAGAUGUAGAUUCAGAUAACACGGCGCGAUGCAUCGCGUUUCGGGAGCAGCGAGGUCUGUCGGGCUGUAUGUACACUCCUUUGGUGGUGUCAAAGGAAUCAAGCGACCGAAGAGAGAGGCGCGAUGCGAACGCCAUCUGUCAGGUACAUUUGUUGGGUGUGGAGACAAGUUGUAGGGCUCGCAAUCACGUGAGGGUUGAUUGAAUUUGUAUACUUAGAUAAGGGAUUUGCAUGUUCUGUAAAUGUCGUCA